UGCUUAUGGACGCCUAUAUUUAUCUUGUCGUUAAUUAUUAAGUUAUAGUGUUAUUUAAUCAGUUUGUCAUAAUUAUAAAUAAACUGAAGUUUGUGUGACUAAAGAAUUGUUUUGAUGCUUCAACUAAAGGUACCCAAUAGAGCAAUUACUUCGAUUUAACUCCUCUCCGGCUUCAUCCCAGGAUGGAUAUUAAAAACGAUAUUCCGUCCUUCGAAAUGGUGCAAUAACAAGUUUUAACGCUGGCAUUCGUAAAAUUGAUACCCCCGAGAAUAUUCCAAUACAAUAAAAUGUGACAGAGAAAUGCGAUCCUGUCAUAUGUGUGCGAUACUAUUACGGAUGAUGGUCGUAAAGAAGUUUCAACUGUUAUUGCAAUGUAUAAUAUUAUAUAUGAUAUCAAAUGCAUCCAGAACACAAAUUGAUCUAUU